rnacentral:rRNA from 1 species
AACGAACGCUGGCGGCAUGCCUAACACAUGCAAGUCGAACGAGACCUUCGGGUCUAGUGGCGCACGGGUGCGUAACGCGUGGGAACCUGCCCUUAGGUUCGGAAUAACUCCCCGAAAGGGGUGCUAAUACCGGAUAAUGUCUCGGACCAAAGAUUUAUCGCCUUUGGAUGGGCCCGCGUUGGAUUAGCUAGUUGGUAGGGUAAAAGCCUACCAAGGCGACGAUCCAUAGCUGGUCUGAGAGGAUGAUCAGCCACACUGGGACUGAGACACGGCCCAGACUCCUACGGGAGGCAGCAGUGGGGAAUAUUGGACAAUGGGCGAAAGCCUGAUCCAGCAAUGCCGCGUGAGUGAUGAAGGCCUUAGGGUUGUAAAGCUCUUUUAGCCGGGAUGAUAAUGACAGUACCGGGAGAAUAAGCUCCGGCUAACUCCGUG